AGUCGACAAUACUGGACUAGAAUGGGCACUGCUGAUUGGUGUCCAGAAUUGGUCAAUGUGGCUAAAUUGAGACACAGGUCAAGUUCCCGUCACAGCAAACGUUUACAGUGGUGACAGGCCUGUAACAUGU
ensembl:snoRNA